rnacentral:misc_RNA from 1 species
GAUGAAGAACGUAGCGAAAUGCGAUAAGUAAUGUGAAUUGCAGAAUUCAGUGAAUCAUCGAAUCUUUGAACGCACCUUGCGCCCUUUGGCCAUUCCGAAGGGCAUGCCUGUUUGAGUAUCAUGAACACCUCAACUCUCAUGGCUUGCCAUGAUGAGCUUGGACUUUGGGGGUCUUGCUGGCCUGCGGCCAGCUCCUCUCAAAUGAAUUAGCUUUCCAGUGUUUGGUUGGCAUCACAGGUGUGAUAACUAUCUACGCUUGUGGUUUCCACCAGGUAACCUUCAGUAACAUGGGGGUUUGCUGGAGCUCAUAAAUGUCUCUCCUCAGUGGGGACAGCUCUUUGAACGUUUGAUCUCAAAUCAGGUAGGGCUACCCGCUGAAUUUAAGCAUAUCAAUAAGCGGAGGA